ensembl:lncRNA
AAAAAAGCAAAUUUCAAAGAUGCCUCGUGUACAAACACUCUGAGCUUGCUAUCUGACAUUUUGUCAGUUUUAAUCUCAUCUUUAGGGCCCAUUUUGUCCCCAAAUUGCAUGUAUAUAAAUGAAAAGGCAAAGGAGUUAUAGCCAUUUCGGUUUUCCAAUGUAAAUUAAUGGAAGGCUUACGAUUCAGCUUAGAUCCAGGCAUAAAUAAAAUUGGAUGAGGUACAAACCACUCUGGACCUAAUCAGGAUCUAUUCAGAAGUCCCAAAUGUGUGGUUCCUGGAGCCUGUGUACAACCCUGACUUGCAGUGGUCAACCAGUUGAGAGGGCGAGAGCGAGAAUGAUGCCAGCUUUCCUUCGCACCCACUGAUCCGUCCUAAUGGAGAAAAGCAUUAGACACGCAGUCUU